rnacentral:rRNA from 1 species
CAAUAGCGUAUAUUUAAGUUGCUGCAGUUAAAAAGCUCGUAGUUGGAUUUCGGGUGGGAAUGGCCGGUCCGCCGUUUCGGUGUGCACUUGCUACGCCCACCUUGCUGCCGGGGACGUGCUCUUGAGUUCACGCUCGGGACACGGAGUCGGCGAGGUUACUUUGAGUAAAUUAGAGUGUUCAAAGCAGGCCUACGCUCUGAAUACAUUAGCAUGGAAUAACACGAUAGGACUCUGGCCUAUCUUGUUGGUCUGUAGGACCGGAGUAAUGAUUAAGAGGGUCAGUCGGGGGCAUUCGUAUUUCAUUGUCAGAGGUGAAAUUCUUGGAUUUAUGAAAGACGAACUACUGCGAAAGCAUUUGCCAAGGAUGUUUUCAUUAA